AUAACUUUGUCACCAACAUCACCCAAACACAAGCACUGACUUGAGCUCUGAAUUCAGUAAGUGCUUCUUGUUGGGGUAGUGUUGCUGA
rnacentral:pre_miRNA from 1 species